rnacentral:rRNA from 1 species
GUCGUUGCCACUGUUUUGCGCGGCUACGACCUACCUCCAUCCCGGCGCACCGCCCCUCACCACUCCCCUGCGGUCCUCUGUCCCGGUGCGCUGUCCCUCACCACCCCCUGUGAUCCUUUGUCCCGGUGCACCGUCCCUCGACACCACUCUUGUGCGACCCUGCAUCCUGGCGCGCCGCCCCUCGUCACCGCUCCCCUAAGACCAACGAUGGAUCCAAGGAACAUCACGUCAAUUCAUAUAACCUGGGUCUCAAACUCUACUCCAACAAGCAUCUCAGUUUAAAAGUACCUCCUGCAAUUCCCAGUUGGUCCAUCGCCACUAGCCCCAAAGCCUAAUACAAGGGUUAGUGUUGCUAGCUUCAUCACCUUGCUGGUACAGAAGGUCAUGAUUAACAUCAAGCCAUACAUGGUGAUGUUACUGAAAUUACUUUACACUCCUGUUCUGGAGGAAAGGAGUUCUACAGCCAACAGGGCCUUUGCGUCUUCUUGUGCUGCAGUUCUCAAAUAUGCCAGCCAAUCUCAGGCUCAGAAACUUAUUAAAGACACUGCUUCUCUGCAUUUAGGGUGGCAAAGCAUUGAUGAAUAUGGUGUCCGCCAAAGGUUUAUGGCCCUGUUUGACAGUAGGUUUUAUUGUUGUUCGUCUGCAUGCUCUUUGAUUCAAGCAGUCUUCUCCAUUAUUGGAGAACACAAGGAUUAAGUCCUGCUUCCACUUAUGAUGUGGGAUGAAGGUUUUGUGUGUAGCUCUGACCAAACUACAACCCCUCCAAAGUCAGAUGCUGGCAUUUAAGUUCGUUCUUCAUCAGUUUUAAUGCCAAGUAUUCAUCAGUUUUAUGUAUCCAACCCGGUCAACUAAGUUCCAAGUAUUUUCAUCAGGUGAAUGGCAAGGGAUGUUGGGGUUCAUAUGAUUUACAUAUAGAUAAAAACUCAAAUUUUCCUCCCGUAGCAGUUACUUCCAUGUACUUCUAGAAUUAUGAAUAUCAUAUAAUUAGUUGAUCAGGCAGUACUAUUAUGAAAUACAAUCUACUGUAUAAAGUACUUAUUAACUAAAUUUAAUCUACUUCCUCUGAUUUAUGUCAAUGAUUUUUUUUAAAGAUGGUGCUACAUAUUUGUUUGUUGGUCAUGGACCUCAACAAUCCAGCGUUUCCCAUAUGUUGGUGUCUGAUCGAGGUACAAGCAAAAUUUUGAUUGCUUUGUUUCAGCAGCCUCACUUAGGACUAUUAUCCUUUCAUCUUCCAUAUGGAGGGACUAUAAUACUAGUAUUUAUGAAGCUUUUUCAUAAUUACUUUAUGAGUUCUUUCAUUUCGAUCACAUAUAACUUUCAUUUUCACUAGCAGGUAGGAACUAAAGUGUUCUUGAAGAGCCUACAAAAUCAUAACGGAGAUGCAGUUCUUGCUACAGUUGUAAGUUGUAAUCCUAAAUUUAAACUUGAUGGUGCUGAACUUACAAAUAAAUAAUGGGAAGUGCAUGUCGAUACGGCACUUGUGAAAACUUAAGUCUUGGUACGAAGUCGCAAAAAUUGCAAUAUUCGUGGUAAUGCAGAAAAACAAAGAUUGUACGGCCUUCAACCCUUUGUUG